CUGGAAGGGGUGGAGCCAGGCUCCCCCUCUCCUGGUCCCCAUUUAAGGGCUUACUGCCACAGAGUGAGGAUUUCUCUCUGGAGAUUGCUCCUCUUGAAGUCUUUUUCAGUAAGCCCAUGAUGAAAGUGGAGGUGAAGAAAUUAAUUCAGACAAUGGAGUUUAUUGUGACGAUGACCUGAAGAAUAGCUAUCAAUGCAGAUUUUCUGUUUUGAGUGGAGAAAAUUCAAUUACUUUUCAAAACUUCGUCAAUCAAUUUGAUUGAGACAUACUUGUACUUCUGUUUAACUGCUUUUUUAGAAGCAUUUACAUAGCUGAAUUUUUCAAGAACAUGAUUUCAAGGAAGGUCAGAUUUUAAGUUCACUUUUGUUUGAAAUCUACAUUGAUAUCAAAU
ensembl:lncRNA